rnacentral:lncRNA from 1 species
ACACACGCACAGGAACACACACACAGAAUUGUACAACUAAUCUUGUGCGGACACACAAUUCAGUCUCAUUCAAAAUCCUAGCUUCUCUAACCCCAAAUCCUAAACCUAAACCUAAACCUAACCUUAACCCAAAAACCUAAUCUUAACACUAACCCUAGCUCCUAACCCUAACACUAAUUCUAACCUUAACCCUAAAACCCAUAAAAAUACUAUUUGACCUCGUGGGGAGUAACAAAAUGUCCCCAGUUGGUCAAAUUUCUGUUUACUAUUCUUGUGGGGAAUUCUGGUCCACACAAGAAUAGCUAAACACACACACAAACCUAUAUCAGCAGUAUUAAAUUAAUAGUUAGCUUUGUAAAGGUCAAUACAGAAAUAAUAUCAAGUUUGUUAUUCUGACAGAAUGUAGGUGUUAUUCUGAUAGAAUGUAGUUGUUAUUCUCAUAGAAUGUAGUUGUUAUUCUGAUAGAAGGUAGGUGUUAUUCUGAGAGAAGGUAGGCGUUAUCCUGAUAGAAUGUAGGUGUUAUUCUGAUAGAAUGUCGAUGUUUUUCUGAUAGAACGUAGGUGUUAUUCUGGUAGAAUGUAUGUGUUAUUCUGAUAGAAUGUAGGUGUUAUUCUGAUAGAAUGUAGGUGUUAUUCUGAUAGAAUGUAGGUGUUAUUCUGAUAGAAUGUAGAUGUUAUUCUGAUAGAAUGUAGGUGUUAUUCUGAUAGAAUGUAGGCGUUAUUCUGAUAGAAUGUAGGUGUUAUUCUGAUAGAAUGUAGGUGUUAUUCUGAUAGAAUGUAGCUGUAAUUCUGAUAGAACGUAGGUGUUUUGAUUGUGAAGUUAGUUGGUUAUUAUUGUUUAGAACACAUUUCCAUUCAGUGUAAUAAACCAG